GGACCCGUGGCCUAAUGGACAAUCAUCAGGGUCUCAGGCGAUGGACUUCUAAUCCAUAGAUUGCGGGUUCGAGUCCCGCCGGGGCUG
rfam:Galdieria sulphuraria unplaced genomic scaffold scaf_12, whole genome shotgun sequence.